GGCUCAGAUUGAACGCUGGCGGCAUGCUUACACAUGCAAGUCGAACGGUAGUACCCGUUCGGGGGUUGAGAGUGGCGAACGGGUGAGUAAUGCAUCGGAACGUGCCCAGUCGGUGGGGAUAACGCAGCGAAAGUUGUGCUAAUACCGCAUACGACCUGAGGGUGAAAGCGGGGGACCGGUAACGGCCUCGCGCGAUUGGAGCGGCCGAUGUCUGAUUAGCUAGUUGGUGAGGUAAAGGCUCACCAAGGCGACGAUCAGUAGCGGGUCUGAGAGGAUGAUCCGCCACACUGGGACUGAGACACGGCCCAGACUCCUACGGGAGGCAGCAGUGGGGAAUUUUGGACAAUGGGCGCAAGCCUGAUCCAGCCAUGCCGCGUGCGGGAAGAAGGCCUUCGGGUUGUAAACCGCUUUCGGACAGAAAGAAAUCGCAUGGACUAAUACUCUGUGUGGAUGACGGUACUGUAAGAAGAAGCACCGGCUAACUACGUG
rnacentral:rRNA from 1 species